CCCAACCCGCGGGUAGGACGGAGUUUAGACCAGCUGAACCUCUUGUUGGUUUUAUACUGAGUCGACGUCAUCCUGGAUUUAGUUCCUGGCCCAGGCUGGACUCCCGGAGCCCCGGCGGCCUGGCCCAAGCCGGACUCUGCUCGCGGCAGGCGGCCGCGGUGAUUUGCUGGAUCCUCCGCGCUGCACGGCCGGUCCGCCGGAGCUGCCGGAGGCGCAUCCAAGCCCACCACCGUGCGCAGGCGGCAGAGCGCCUUUCGAGAAGCCUCUCUCCCGGUCACAGAGCACAGCUCAUAAUCGGAUGCCCUUAAGAAGAUUUUUCGUGGCAUGGGCAAAAAGCCGGCGUGUCCUUUACAAAGGUAGGGAGCCCCCUCGGAGGAGGGCGAAUUAGCUGGGUCAGAGGAAUUAGGA